rnacentral:rRNA from 1 species
CUGACUGUCUGUCCGGCGUGCGGGGUAAGAUGGUGGGGGCUGGGGUUGUUGGGAAUUACGGGGGGGACAGCGCGGGUAGGAGGCCAUGCAAGUGAGGCGUGAAAGGCCGUGGCUCAACCUGGGAAAUGCGCUUCAGACUGAACGGCUUGAGUACGGCAGAGGGUGGUGGAAUUCACAGUGUAGAGGUGAAAUUCGUAGAUAUUGGGAGGAACACCAGUGGCGAAGGCGGCCACCUGGCCCGGUACUGACGAUCAAGUGCGAAAGCGUGGGGAGCAAACAGGAUUAGAUACCCGUGUAGUC